UUUACUACUCCGACGAGAAUGCUACUCCUUCAGCAACGGGGAAUUCGUCAAGGCCGGUUCGCAUAAAUUAGAGCAGUGGUGCCAUAAAGCAAUGGAAGAGUGUGCCGAAACCUUAUGGGAUGAGCUCCAACAUAUAAGAAGCAAUGGGAUUUCUGGUUUUGCAUCAAAAAUCCCACAAAUCCCUGGAGGAGAUCACCAACGAACUCUGCCCGGUAAGCCCGUGAACAGAAAUCAUUGAAUUGCCCCAGAAACAAUGCAAAUCCCAGCAUC